AGCAGCUACAGGGUAACUAUGGAGUAUCAGCAUUCUUUCCUUCCAUGGUUUAUGUCAAUUCAGGAAAACAUGUGUGAAGCAUCUGCCUUUUUAUUUAAACAGAAAGCAAGAGCUCAGAUUGCCGGACUGUGGCAUUUUAUGCACAAACCCAACAGCUAAAUUGGGAGCCGCAUCCAUGGGAGGGGCACGCUUGACGCGGGCCACCACAGCUGCCCCGGCCACCAACUGCCCAGGAGGCCUCCACUUGAACCGAAGGGGAGACAGUCAACAACAGAGCACAGCCAAAUACACAAAGAGUAAGAGUUCCUGAUGACUGCACAGCCAGAGAGCCAGAGUCCAAAGUUCUGUUGACUACGGAGAAGACGGCAAACGAGAAUUAUUUUAAAAUUCCUUUUACUGCAUCCAGUGCUGUUUCACAACAUUUUCCUUGAAUUUGAUACUGGAUACAUAAAAAUGUGGAGCCGUUGUGAACAUCUAAACUCUUGAGAGAGCCACCACCACUCUGAGCCUAAUCAGAAAUGGGUACAUCUGUCUAGACGGAUUGAAGGUGCAGCAUUUCCAAAUACCAAAUGACCACCCACCUCCAAAGUGUCACUGAGCUCUGCAAACAAAAAAAUUUUCCGAGACACUUAAUAGCAGUUGACUGGAUUCAUGUCAAGGAAAUGGAAUGGCUCUCUCACUUAGGCCACCGUGUGCAGCUGCUGAGAUUGUGAACCUCCAUGCAGCUACUCCUGUGCGCGACCUACGAAAACUCCUCAAGAACUCAGUCACCCUGCUCCCA